UGCCAGCAGCCGCGGUAAUACGGAGGGUCCAAGCGUUAUCCGAAAUCAUUGGGUUUAAAGGAUUCGCAGGCGGCCUAUUAAGUCAGUAAUGAAAUCUCUCAACUCAACCGAGAAACUGCCAUUGAUACUGAUAGGCUUGAAUAUAGUUGGAGUAGGCGGAAUGUGUAGUGUAGCGGUGAAAUGCUUAGAUAUUACACAGAACACCGAUAGCGAAGGCAGCUUACUAAACUAUUAUUGACGCUCAUGAACGAAAGCGUGGGGAGCAAGCAGGAUUAGAUA
rnacentral:rRNA from 1 species